rnacentral:rRNA from 1 species
GAUGAACGCUGGCGGCGUGCUUAACACAUGCAAGUCGAACGGAGAUUACUUUUUAGCUUGCUAUUUUGUAAUCUUAGUGGCGGACGGGUGAGUAACGCGUGGGUAACCUGCCUUAUCCAGGGGGAUAACAGUUAGAAAUGACUGCUAAUACCGCAUAAGCGCACAGUUUCGCAUGAAACAGUGUGAAAAGAUUUAUCGGGAUAAGAUGGACCCGCGUCUGAUUAGCUAGUUGGUGAGGUAACGGCCCACCAAGGCGACGAUCAGUAGCCGGCCUGAGAGGGUGAACGGCCACAUUGGGACUGAGACACGGCCCAAACUCCUACGGGAGGCAGCAGUGGGGAAUAUUGCACAAUGGGGGAAACCCUGAUGCAGCGACGCCGCGUGAGUGAAGAAGUAUUUCGGUAUGUAAAGCUCUAUCAGCAGGGAAGAAAAUGACGGUACCUGACUAAGAAGCCCCGGCUAACUACGUGCCAGCAGCCGCGGUAAUACGUAGGGGGCAAGCGUUAUCCGGAUUUACUGGGUGUAAAGGGAGCGUAGACGGCAUGGCAAGUCUGAAGUGAAAUGCGGGGGCUCAACCCCUGAACUGCUUUGGAAACUGUUAAGCUAGAGUGUCGGAGAGGUAAGUGGAAUUCCUAGUGUAGCGGUGAAAUGCGUAGAUAUUAGGAGGAACACCGGUGGCGAARGCGGCUUACUGGACGAUGACUGACGUUGAGGCUCGAAAGCGUG